rnacentral:rRNA from 1 species
UACGUAGGGGGCUAGCGUUGUCCGGAUUUAUUGGGCGUAAAGAGCGUGUAGGCGGCCAUGUAGGUCCGGUGUGAAAACUCGAGGCUUAACCUCGAGAUGUCAUCGGAAACCAUUUGGCUAGAGUCCGGAAGAGGAGAGUGGAAUUCCUGGUGUAGCGGUGAAAUGCGCAGAUAUCAGGAGGAACACCGAUGGCGAAGGCAGGUCUCUGGGCAUUAACUGACGCUGAGGAGCGAAAGCAUGGGGAGCGAACAGG